AAGAAUUUUUUUUAAUAUUUAUUUUUUAGCUUUCGGCGGACACAACAUCUUUGUUUGUAUGUGGUGCUGAGGAUCGAACCCGGGCCUCACGCAUGCCAGGCGAGCGCGCUACCGCUUGAGCCACAUCCCCAGCCCUAUGUGAUGUUUUAUUAUAUUCUUUUGUGAGUUUUCGUUUUUCCCCCUACUGUGUUGGGUGUUAUUUUCUGUAGACCUUGUACAUGCUAAACACAUGCUCUACCACCGAGCUACACUCCCAGCUUGAUCUUAGCAGUCUUGAUCUUAGUAUUUAAAACAUGUUACACUCAAGUGUGAGCCUCUAUAAAUCAAGUGCAGGCUUCUUGGAAGAAGGGAGUUCUCACUUCUCACUCUGUCUCCCAUAUUUAAGGCACAGUCCUGGGUAGCUGGGAAUGGAUGAGAGAGUGAAGUUAUCACCUCUCAGGAGGAAAGCUCUCUCUGUGCAAGCUUAAGGCAGAAAGAGUUUUGUGUUUUGGGCUGUAGAGUCUCCAACCUCCCUGAGCUGAGCCAAAGGAAGUAUGUGAGUAGCCUUAUUUCAAAUAUGGUGAACUUUCUCCUUUUUACCAGAUUUACAUAGAUUUCCCUAAGUGUUUCUCCUGUUGCUCUGUACCCUCAGGGCUUUCCUGGAGGCUUUUCAUCUGGUGAUUUUCUUUUUUACACUUAUCACUUUCCUUUGGGACUAAUCUACAGGUUCCUCACAUACUACCAGAUGUCAAGCCCCAGGAUUCUUUCUUAGUAUAAGUUUAUGCAUUUGUUUAUUUAGAGAAACUGGAGAUGUCUUUGUUUUAGUAGUGCCAGGGAUGGAACCUAAGGCCUUGUGCAUGCCAGGCAAAUGUUUUACAUGGAACCACACAUCUUCAUAUUUAUAUGUGGUGCUGAGGAUCAAACCCGGGGCCUCACACAUGCCAGGCAACUACUCUACCACUGAGCCACAACCCCAGCCCAUCAUUAAUAUCUUAAAUGAAACAAACUCAGUGUUUGAAGAAUCCAGCAAAAUCACUCAAUCCAAUUUUUAUGUAUAAGAAGGAGAGAAAACUAUAAGGAAUAUUUACUAAUUCCACAAGAAGACCCACAAGUUUCUGUUCUUUUCAGAAAAUGAAGAUUUGGGAGAGAGCUUGCCUAGCAUGCAGGAGGCCCUGGGUUUGAUCCUCAGCACCCACCCAAAACACACAUAACAAGAAAAUGCUGUCAAUCAAUUGUUACUUCCAAGGCAAGAAAUUAUUUUAUAAACUCAUAUUUGAACACUUCAAGGUGUUAGAAGCUUAAGCCCUGGAAUUCUUUUUGAAAUCAUCAAAAAAGAAAAAACAGACCCGAGAAAUUUAUUAUAUAUGCUCCAAGAAGAAAUAGGUAAACAAGAAUUGAGACAAAUGUAACACUGAAAAAUUUUUCCCCCUGAAAUUCAUAUCUUUCUUGCCUCUUUGGAAAUAUAUUAUAUCACACUUUAUUAUAAAUAUUUUGCAUUUACUGGAAAAAAUGAGACUCAAAUGAGUACAUAAAUUUGGGGGGUGGUGGGCUUUUCACUCUUUUGUUUUAAAAUUUAGGCUUCAUUUAUUUAAUUACUUUUUACCCAUUCCAUCCAUCAUUUUUCCUUUUCAUGAUAUUCACUUAUACAUAUAUUAAACUAAUAAAUAGUGCCCCAAAGGUUACUCAAGUUUAUAUAAUUUCAUUAAAUUCUUUUCCUAUUAACUGUUUUCAAGUUCAC
rnacentral:lncRNA from 1 species